rnacentral:lncRNA from 1 species
UGUUCAUGAUCGAUCCAAAUUUCAUGUGAUGGUGAUGGAGACGAUAUGGGACAUAACAUCAAGAAUGUUCAUGAUCGAUCCAAAUUUCAACUUGAAUAAUCUAAUACGAGGUAUAAAUAUCUACAGACAUGGACAAGAGACAUAAGACAUUUAGUGAAGGUGACAUGGUGAUGGUCUACAUGCACAAAGAAUAUUUUUCUGCUGGAACAUA